UUUAUCAUAUAGAGACAUAUAAGAUACAUAGGCUGUUAUUAUCUUGUUUAAUGUGCAGUGCCUACAUAUACAGUAACCAUGAGAAAGGGAUAAGGAGAAGGGGGGAGAGACCAGGGUAGAAUCUUACCUUUGGCCCCUCGCAGCACGAAGCCGAAGCCUUCAUUCUCCUUCUUGGUCAAGACCACCGUCUUCUCCUCGACCACGCAGUCGCUGUGGAGAAAAUGCCGCGCAAAGCGCCCGUUAUUACAGCCCAUCAUCCGCAUCACGGCCACAGCCGCCCGCCCUGAGUGCAGGUUCAUCGCGGUAAGCUACUCUGGGCAGCCCCCGACGGAGGGGCUCCUUGCCUCGGCCCCUUUUAGCUCAAAUGAAGUGCAUGACAACGCUGGCAGUGGCAGUCCGGCGCCCGCAUCUCCAGAAAAGCCGCCGCUCCUCUCCUCUGCGGCCGAAAACCACUCGGGGGAGCGACAAGCGGAGGCCGGAGAUGGCGACGAAGUCGAAGCGUGACGUCGGAUAGAAGCAGCAUUACCGACUAAAUAAAUGAUGAUGAAAGCGUGGCUUGACGCGGAGGAGGGGGGGAGAAAAGGAACGGAUGGUGGCAGGCAGUUAGGAGUCCUGGGCGAGGAGUGCGCGCAACGAAUGAGAGAAGAAAAAGAGAGAAGGGAGAGCGUGACCAGCAUGGCAGUGCGCGGGCACGAAAACAGGAGGCCAUGCAUGAGUGAUUGACCCUUUCACUCGAGUCGAGAGGUGGGUGUCCUCCCACUCAAUGGCGUGGGGUGGCGGUGGGUGACACAGAGGGACGCAGCCCGCAUGCGCUUGCAUUACAUUUUUCAUUAAUGUAAUCCAAGGCGACAGAUGCGCCCAAGCAACGUGACGAGAGAAACGGAGAGGGAAGGAAAGAUAUUCAGCCUGACUCCAAAUGCGAUUGGGCACAAAGGUUGGGCACUCAAACCUGUAUGCUAAUACUCCAAAAACAGAAUGCCACCACGUCAGUCACAGCCACAUUCAAUCAAGCAAUUCAAUUCUCAGACACCUCUUCACCUCUAUAACCUCCAGAAAAAAAACCAUCUACAAACAGCAAUGACGUGGUCCAAGCAAUACAGCCCCAUCAACACCACAGUGGGCCUACCAGGCUACCAGUAAUACUGCUAUAUACCCUUUACCUGCCACAUCUGCAGCUUGAACCAUUCAGUCGAUAUACUUAAGGCUCAUAGCUUGAACCUUUCACAGUGUGACUAGCGUGGCAUGCUCAUUUGCUAAUGUUUAUCUGCCUUGAGAGCUGGGAUUAGGGGGGAAUGAAAGGCACCUAUUGAACUUUGACUUGGCAGUAAACACUUCUCACAAUCUCCCUCAUUUUAUUCUUCUUUCACACCAUGGCCACCUUGUGUGUGUGUGUGUGUGUGUGUGUGUGUGUGUGUGUGUACUCUACCAUAGCAAAUGAAGGGGGAAAACAGUCAAAUCCACCCAGACACUGGAUGAGAUAUGAGACACAUUAAACAGGGAUGUUGAGGGAUGAGAGGAGAGAUAGAGAGCUGCAACUGCCUUCCUAGCAACAGAGCAGCAAAUGCAGAGUUGCCUUAGCAACACAAUAUGUUUUUUUUUUAAAGGACAACAUCCUGGUUAUAUUAUUACUGUUAUUAUUAUUAUUGUUAUUAUAAUAACACCACUUUUUAUUUAAAAACGUUUAUUCAAAACACCCAGUCACGUUAGCUUGUCAGGAUAAUCAGCAAAAACAAUAAGACAAUAAGAUCACACAUUAAAAUAGCACACGAGGUUAUCGCCCAUGACCUGUCAAGACAUGGAGUCAGGUGGUCAAUGACAUGAAUCGCACCGUUAUCACCUGAAGCAUCGCCGCUUUGUUGAUUUAACCACGUCCUAUGGUUUGACGGAGGAGAGUUUGCAUGUUAUCGAUAGAGUCAUCUUUAUCCAACCAGCAGAGUGACAAUAACAGAUACAAGUGUCAAAACGUGGACAAUGUGGGGCCAGAGGAUAAACACACCAUAGGCUUCUGUGGGAUAUCAAUGCAUGGUAGUCCUGGUGAUGUGACCACUGCACUAAUUCAAAUGUCGAACCACAUGACCAGUAUUGAUUUGUAGGCUACGUGUGCCUUUUUUAAUAGAUUUUUUAAUUGAUGCAGUUCUGUCCUUGAGCUGUUCUUGUCUAUUCAUGUUCUGUAUUAUGUCAUGUUUCAUGUUUUGUGUGCACCCCAGGAAGAGCAGCUGCUGCUUUUGCAAAAGCUAAUGGGGAUCCUAAUAAAAUAAAUACCAAAAUACCUGAAUUGUCCUUUCCUGUUACAGGCAGAGCCAUUUAUGUAUAGGCUAGAUAUGUGUACACAUGGAUAUACACUGAGUAUACAAAACAUUAAGGACACCUGCUCAUUCCAUGACAUAGACUGACCAGGUGAAUCCAGGUGAAAGCUAUCAUCCCUUAUUGAUGACACUUGUUAAAUCCACUUUAAUCAGUGUAGAUGAAGGGGAUAUGACAGUUUAAAGAAGGAUUUUUAAGCCUUGAGACAAUUGAGACAAGGAUUGUGUUUGUGUGCCAUUCAGAGGGUGAAUGUGCAAGACAAAAUAUUUAAGUGACUUUGAACGGGGUAUGGUAGUAGGAGUCAGGUGCAAUAACUGCAACACUGCUGGGUUUUUCACGCUCAACAGUUUGCCGUGUGCAUUAAGAUUGGUCCACCACCCAAAGGACAUCCAGCCAACUUGACACAACUCUGGGAAGCAUUGGAGUGAACAUGGGCCAGCAUCCCUGUGGAACACUUUUGUAGAGUCCAUUCCCCUACAAAUCGAGGUUGUUCUGAGAGCAAAAGGGGGAUGGG
rnacentral:lncRNA from 1 species